rnacentral:lncRNA from 1 species
GGAUUUGAUGCGUGAGAUUUGAAUGGCCUGGGGCUUCAAAUGGGUGAGCAAGAAGUGGACUCAUGCCAUGCCUGGGAGCAUGCUUUGAGCAUUAUUUGAAUUUGGAUGCGGUCUUUGCAGAUCUUCACAUGGAUGUGAUGCGGUUGAUACGAGCGACGGGCUUAAUGCAGUGAGGACAUGGGUGUGGCCUGAUACAUGAUGCAAUAGAGAGUGGGUUCCGAACGAAGCCUGAGACACGAACACGCAGAACAACAACUAAAAGAAUUAAAAUCAAAAAGAAAAGAAAUCAGGGAGGAAUCAAAAGAUUGAAUAUGGUCACGAUUCUUAGCCCAUAAAAAGAGAUUAAGAGAAA